CAAAGAUUAAGCCAUGCAUGUCUCAGUGCAAGCCGAAUUAAGGUGAAACCGCGAAAGGCUCAUUAAAUCAGCUAUAAUUUAAUUGAUGGUACAAUCACGGUUACUUGGAUAACUGUGGCAAUUCUAGAGCUAAUACAUGCAAAACGAGUUCCGACCGCGCGCUCGCGAGGGCGCGCGGAACGAAUGCUUUUAUUAGAACAAAACCAAUCGGAUCUUCCGUCCGCGGCGCGGCCGGUUGAUUCCGGCGGCCGCGGUCGGCGGAAGCAAUCCGCAAACUCCUGGUGACUCUGAAUAACUUUAAGCUGAUCGCACGGUCACGCACCGGCGACGCAUCUUUCAAAUGUCUGACUUAUCAACUUUCGAUGGUAGGCUACGCGCCUACCAUGGUGAUAACGGGUGACGGGGAAUCAGGGUUCGAUUCCGGAGAGGGAGCCUGAGAAACGGCUACCACAUCCAAGGAAGGCAGCAGGCGCGCAAAUUACCCACUCCCGGCACGGGGAGGUAGUGACGAAAAAUAACGAUGCAGGACUCUUUCCGAGGCUCUGCAAUCGGAAUGAGCACACUCUAAAUCAUUUAACGAGUAUCCAUUGGAGGGCAAGUCUGG
rnacentral:rRNA from 1 species